AUUUGAGUCUCGCACAGUCACA
rnacentral:miRNA from 1 species